rnacentral:lncRNA from 1 species
GGUGUUUGUGCGCGUGUGCGUGUGCGUGUGUGUGUGCAUGUGCGUGUGUGUGUGUGUGUGUGUGUGUGUGUGUGGACCAGAAGUCCCCACAAGAAUAGUAAACAAACAAAAAUUGGACCAACUGUGAACAGUUGACCUAUGAGGUCAAAUGCUAUUUCUAGGGGUUUAGGCUUAAGGUUAGAAUUUGUGUUAGAAUUAUGCUAAGGGUUAGGGUUAGGAGCUAGGGUUAGUUUUAGGGUUAGGAGCUAGGGUUAGUUUUAGGAUUAGGAGCUGGGGUUAGUUUUAGGAUUAGGAGCUGGGGUUCGUUUUAGGAUUAGAAGCUGGGGUUAGUUUUAGGAUGAGGAGCUGGGGUUAGUUUUAGGAUUAGGAGCUGGGGUUAGUUUUAGGAUUAGGAGCUGGGGUUAGUUUUAGGAUUAGGAGCUGGGGUUAGUUUUAGGAUUAGAAGCUGGGGUUAGUUUUAGGAUUAGGAGCUGGGGUUAGUUUUAGGAUUAGGAGCUAUGGUUAGUUUUAGGAUUAGGAGCUGGGGUUAGUUUUAGGGUUAGGAGCUAGGGUUAGUUUUAGGAUUAGGAGCUAGGGUUAGGUUUAGGGUUAGGGUUAAGGUUAGGUUUUUGGGUUAGGGUUAAGGUUAGGGUUAGGGUAAGGGGUUAGGGAAAAUAGGAUUUUGAAUGGGACUGAAUUAUGUGUCCCCACAAGGUUAGUUAUACAAGACUGUGUGUGUGUGUGACAUUUCCUCAGGCCCUUACCUCACAGGGGUGGGCAACUCCAGUCCUUGAGGGCCUGAUUGGUGUCACACCUUUUUUCCAUCCCUAGCAAACACAGGUGAUUAAUCAAAUUGCAUUCUAAACUGAAGAUCAUGAUUAGGUGAUUAUUGGAGUCAGGUGUGUUAGCCGGGGCUGGGGCAAAACUGUGACACCAAUCAGGCCCUAAGGGACUGGAACCCCAUACGCCUUGCAGCAAUGCUGUGUUGAGCUUAAGGACUUUGUGCUUGGUCGUCAAUGAGAGGCUUUGCCUAUAUGUGUCUGUCUGGCACAACUUAUUUUUGUGGGCAAUGUUUGUCUAGAUUGUUUGUGUGUGUGUGUGUGUGUGUGUGUGUGUGUGUGUGUGUGUGUGUGUGUGUGUGUGUGUGUGUGUGUGUGUGUGUGUGUGUGUGUGUGUGUGUGUGUCUGUCUAGGUUGUGUUUCUGUCUAGGUUGUAUGUGUAAGUGUGUGUGUCUCUAGGACUAGGUUGUGCGUCAGUCUAGUGUGUGUGUGUUUGGCUUCCCCUGGUUUCCCCCGAUCAAGGCUGGCCUGAUUCUCCUGACAGCCCCUGCAGGUAAAUCCCCCCAACAGCCUGCUCAGAGUCUGGGCCCACUGCUGUCAGUGACACACACAGACACAUAUACCGCACCGCCACUGCUAAGUCGUGGCCGCCACUGCAAAUAAAUAUAUAUAUGUACAGUAAGUGUUUUUGGAGAAAAUAAUGUCAAGAUGGUGAAACGUUUUCAGUGUAAACUUAAACGCCGAAAACCAGAUAUAAAGUAUAAAAGAUAAUGGUUAUACAGUAUAUACAGUGCAUUCCUAAAGUAUUCAGACUUUUUACACAUUUUGUUACGUUAAUUACAGCCUUAUUCUAAAAUGGAUUAACAUAGUUUUCCCCCCUCAUCAAUCUACACACAAUACGCCACAAUGACAAAGCAAAAACUGGAUUUUAGAAAAAAAAUCUAAUUUAUAAAAAAUAAAACCUGAAAUAUUAUAUUUACAUAAGUAUUCAUACCCUUUACUCAGUACUUUCUUGAAGCAC